UCUACGGGAGGCAGCAGUGGGGAAUAUUGCGCAAUGGGCGAAAGCCUGACGCAGCGACGCCGCGUGAGGGAUGAAGGUCUUCGGAUCGUAAACCUCUGUCAGCAGGGAAGAACGGUCACUGUGCUAAUCAGCAGUGAAUUGACGGUACCUGCAAAGGAAGCACCGGCUAACUCCGUGCCAGCAGCCGCGGUAAUACGGAGGGUGCGAGCGUUAAUCGGAAUUACUGGGCGUAAAGCGCUCGUAGGCGGUAUGUCAAGUCAAGGGUGAAAUCCCCGCGCUCAACGUGGGAACUGCCUUUGAAACUGGCAAACUGGAGUGUGGGAGAGGAUAGUGGAAUUCCAGGUGUAGGAGUGAAAUCCGUAGAUAUCUGGAGGAACAUCAGUGGCGAAGGCGACUAUCUGACACAUAACUGACGCUGAGGAGCGAAAGCGUGGGUAGCAAACAGGAUUAGAUACCCCUGUAGUC
rnacentral:rRNA from 1 species